GCGGACGUGGUGGAAUCGGUAGACACACAGGACUUAAAAUCCUGAGACGGCAACGUCGUGUGGGUUCGAGUCCCACCGUCCGCACCA
rnacentral:tRNA from 1 species